UACGGAGGGUGCAAGCGUUAAUCGGAAUUACUGGGCGUAAAGCGCGCGUAGGCGGUUUGUUAAGUCGGAUGUGAAAUCCCCGGGCUCAACCUGGGAACUGCAUUCGAUACUGGCAGGCUAGAGUACGAGAGAGGGGGGUAGAAUUCCUAGUGUAGCGGUGAAAUGCGUAGAUAUUAGGAGGAAUACCAGUGGCGAAGGCGGCCCCCUGGCUUGAUACUGACGCUGAGGUGCGAAAGCGUGGGGAGCAAACAGG
rnacentral:rRNA from 1 species